rnacentral:rRNA from 1 species
ACUACGAACGGGUGGAGCCUGUCGGUUUAAGUUGGAUUCAACGCCGGAAAUCUCACCGGGGCGACAGCAAUAUGAAGGUCAGGCUGAAGACCUUACCCGAUUAGCUGAGAGGUGGUGCAUGGCCGUCGUCAGUUCGUACUGUGAAGCAUCCUGUUAAGUCAGGCAACGAGCGAGACCCACGUCCACAGUUGCCAGCAUACCCUCCGGGGUGAUGGGUACACUGUGGAGACCGCCGCUGCUAAAGCGGAGGAAGGAGUGGGCAACGGUAGGUCAGUAUGCCCCGAAUCUCCCGGGCUACACGCGGGCUACAAUGGUUGGUACAAUGGGCAUCUACCCCGAAAGGGGAAGGAAAUCUCUUAAAGCCAAUCGUAGUUCGGAUUGAGGGCUGCAACUCGCCCUCAUGAAGCUGGAAUCCGUAGUAAUCGCGUUUCAACAGAACGCGGUGAAUACGUCCCUGCUCCUU